AGUGGCGGACGGGUGAGUAACGCGUGAGAAUCUGCCUUGGGGUCGGGGACAACCACUGGAAACGGUGGCUAAUACCGGAUAAGCCGAUUGGUGAAAGAUUUAUUGCCCGAAGAGGAGCUCGCGUCUGAUUAGCUAGUUGGUGAGGUAAGAGCUCACCAAGGCAGCGAUCAGUAGCUGGUCUGAGAGGACGAUCAGCCACACUGGGACUGAGACACGGCCCAGACUCCUACGGGAGGCAGCAGUGGGGAAUUUUCCGCAAUGGGCGAAAGCCUGACGGAGCAAGACCGCGUGAGGGAGGAAGGCUCUUGGGUUGUAAACCUCUUUUCUCAGGGAAGAAGCUCUGACGGUACCUGAGGAAUCAGCCUCGGCUAACUCCGUGCCAGCAGCCGCGGUAAUACGGAGGAGGCAAGCGUUAUCCGGAAUUAUUGGGCGUAAAGCGUCCGCAGGUGGCGAUUCAAGUCUGCUGUCAAAGCACGGGGCUUAACUCCGUAAAGGCAGUGGAAACUGAAUAGCUAGAGUGCCGUAGGGGUAGAGGGAAUUCCCGGUGUAACGGUGAAAUGCGUAGAGAUCGGGAAGAACAUCGGUGGCGAAAGCGCUCUACUGGACGGCAACUGACACUCAGGGACGAAAGCUAGGGGAGCGAAUGGGAUUAGAUACCCC
rnacentral:rRNA from 1 species